rnacentral:rRNA from 1 species
UACGUAGGGUGCGAGCGUUGUCCGGAAUUACUGGGCGUAAAGAGCUCGUAGGUGGUUUGUCGCGUUGUUCGUGAAAACUCACAGCUCAACUGUGGGCGUGCGGGCGAUACGGGCAGACUAGAGUACUGCAGGGGAGACUGGAAUUCCUGGUGUAGCGGUGGAAUGCGCAGAUAUCAGGAGGAACACCGGUGGCGAAGGCGGGUCUCUGGGCAGUAACUGGCGCUGAGGAGCGAAAGCGUGGGGAGCGAACAGG